rnacentral:hammerhead_ribozyme from 1 species
AUCCAGUUGAUGAGUCCCUAAUAGGACGAAACGUGCAUCCUUGAU